UACGGAGGGUGCAAACGUUGUUCGGAAUUACUGGGCGUAAAGAGUGUGUAGGCGGUGCUCUAAGUCUGUUGUGAAAUCUCCCGGCUUAACCGGGAGGGUGCGGCGGAAACUGGAGUGCUUGAGGGUGGGAGAGGUAAGCGGAAUUCCUGGUGUAGCGGUGAAAUGCGUAGAUAUCGGGAGGAACACCUGUGGUGUAGACAGCUUACUGGACCACUUCUGACGCUGAGACACGAAAGCGUGGGUAGCAAACAGG
rnacentral:rRNA from 1 species